rnacentral:rRNA from 1 species
AUUGAACGCUGGCGGCAGGCCUAACACAUGCAAGUCGAGCGGAUGAAGAGAGCUUGCUCUCUGAUUUAGCGGCGGACGGGUGAGUAAUGCCUAGGGAUCUGCCUGGUAGUGGGGGAUAACGUUCCGAAAGGAACGCUAAUACCGCAUACGUCCUACGGGAGAAAGCAGGGGACCUUCGGGCCUUGCGCUAUCAGAUGAGCCUAGGUCGGAUUAGCUAGUUGGUGAGGUAAUGGCUCACCAAGGCGACGAUCCGUAACUGGUCUGAGAGGAUGAUCAGUCACACUGGAACUGAGACACGGUCCAGACUCCUACGGGAGGCAGCAGUGGGGAAUAUUGGACAAUGGGCGAAAGCCUGAUCCAGCCAUGCCGCGUGUGUGAAGAAGGUCUUCGGAUUGUAAAGCACUUUAAGUUGGGAGGAAGGGCAGUAAGUUAAUACCUUGCUGUUUUGACGUUACCGACAGAAUAAGCACCGGCUAACUUCGUGCCAGCCGCCGCCGUAAGAC